GGGAGUAUAGCUCAGUUGGUUUAGAGCGCCUGCCUUACAAGCAGGAGGUCCUUGGUUCGAAUCCAUGUACUCCCA
rnacentral:tRNA from 2 species